UACAGAGGGUGCAAGCGUUGUUCGGAAUUACUGGGCGUAAAGCGUGCGUAGUCGGUAUUGAGAGUCGCGGGUGAAAUCCCAGGGCUUAACCCUGGAACUGCCUGCGAGACCUCAGUACUAGAGUGUGAGAGGGGAUAGUGGAAUACCCAGUGUAGCGGUGAAAUGCGUAGAGAUUGGGUGGAACACCGGUGGCGAAGGCGGCUAUCUGGCUCACAACUGACGCUCAGACACGGACAGCAUGGGGAGCGAACGGG
rnacentral:rRNA from 1 species